rnacentral:rRNA from 1 species
UACGGAGGGUGCAAGCGUUAUCCGGAUUCACUGGGUUUAAAGGGAGCGUAGGUGGGCUGGUAAGUCAGUGGUGAAAUCUCCGGGCUUAACUCGGAAACUGCCGUUGAUACUAUCAUUCUUGAAUAUUGUGGAGGUAAGCGGAAUAUGUCAUGUAGCGGUGAAAUGCUUAGAUAUGACAUAGAACACCAAUAGCGAAGGCAGCUUGCUACACAAUUAUUGACACUGAGGCUCGAAAGCGUGGGGAUCAAACAGG